CUUCCAAGAGGAUUAUCUAUUAAUCCAAAUGCUGACAGUCAUUCAUUUCCAUUACAAAAAUAGCCCUACUCUAUAUAACAGAAUCCUCCCUGCACAUGAGCGUUUAAAUAGAGCCAGAGAAGAAAAUGAUUCUCAGCACUCUCUGGAUUCCAUGUUUAUCGUAUGAGUCCUUACUGUGUUUUAUGUUAAUGGAAUUUAGCGUCAAAAGCAAUGGACAUCAGAUUGAGGUUGGAAGAAAGAAACAAUAAAUGCAGAGUAUCUCAUCUUCUUCAUCCCUUCAUUCACUGACAUCUACUGUGCGCCAACUCUGUGUCAGCCCAGGCCAGGGAUGGGAACACAACUGUGAGCAGGAUGCUGAGACGGAUUCAUUUCUGAUGGAAGUUUAAUCAAAGAGCAGGGACUUCCCACGUGGACUGUAUCAACUCUGAAAGAUCCUAGUGUUAUUUCAAAUCUUCACUCAUGUGUACAUUUAUGCUCUACUGUCUCUGUACAUAGUAAAUGCAAUUAAAUAUUACCUUAUAAGCCUUCCAGAUAAGUCUAAAUAUUUCACCUACACUGACCACAAUAACUGAUUGGCCACUGCGGGAUAACUCCCUCGGGACUGGAAAGCAGCAAAUAUUCUACGUGUGUGAAAUAACUGCCUCGAUGUUUAGGUGAGACAGUGAGGAAUCUCUAAUCGAAUCAAAAAUAGAGCCAUGGUAAGAAGCAAAAUGUAAUUAUCCAGUUGGAAUUUGGCCAGUAUAGUAGACAGAUUCUCUUGAGUUCCUGAGGAAGGGAGCAUAAGAACUUUAAAGUAUCCUCUGCUUCAGCUACGAAUGCAUUUCCGACUCCAGCACAACGUACCCAUUACCUUUCGGAUCUCCUCCAGUCCUACCCUCAUGACCACCCCACUCAAGAGCCCAGAGGCCGAGGAGCUCGGAUGGGAGCCACGAAGACCCUUCCUCAGGAAACAUUCAUUUCCCUUGUGUGGACAGAAACAUUUAUGUCGUAGACACGUAGAAAAGCUCUAUUAGUGCUUUGGGACGUAGGCUCUCUGAAUGAGGGGUCGAAGUCGUGGUGUCAAAUACAUCACUGUCAUCUCGUUGCUAGACGCCGAAUGCUGUUUAGAAAAGAACCUUCCCGAUCCUAAAUGUGGGAGAUCUUUCUUACAGGCUGCUGCUUCCAGAGAGGAAAGCUAACUUCUCUCCUGUGACCACAUGAACUGCUCAGGAAUCUGUCACCCCAGCUUUCUCACUGGAGAACUGGGUUCAAUAAAUUGCAUAUAAAAAGGCCUUA